rnacentral:rRNA from 1 species
GAGACUCUGUGCGCGUGCAUAUCAAUAAGCGGAGGAAAAGAAACUAACAUAGGAUUCCCUUAGUAACGGCGAGUGAAGCGGGAAGAGCUCAAAUUUGAAAUCUUCAAGGUUCUACCUUGACGAAUUGUAGUUUAUAGAAGUGUUUUCUGUUAGUAGAGUGGCAAAAGUUCUUUGGAAUAGGACAUCAUAGAGGGUGAGAAUCCCGUAUUUGGUCAUUCUUUCUAGCUUUGUGAUGACACUUUCAACGAGUCGGAUUGUUUGGGAAUGCAGUCCAAAAUGGGUGGUAAAUUUCAUCUAAAGCUAAAUAUUGGCGAGAGCCGAUAGCGAACAAGUACCGUGAGGGAAAGAUGAAAAGAACUUUGAAAAGAGAGUUAAACAGUACGUGAAAUUGUCAAAAGGGAAGCGUUUGACACCAGUGUUGUUUUUCCGAAAAUCAAUUACGAAUGUUUUAGUUUUUAAGAAGUUAUGACUUCAUCGGCUUGCUUCUCUCUUUAUGAAACUUUCUUAAUGCACUUUUCGGUUAACAAGUCAACAUCAAUUUCUUUUGUUGCUAAAAGGGUAUGAGGAAGGUGGCUUUCUUUUCGGAGAAAGUGUUUAUAGCCUUGUACCUCUGCAAUCGGAGAGAUUGAGGUCUGCAGCGUGGAUCCUUCGGGGUUAGAUACGUUUGUGCUAAGUUAUAGCUUUUCAUAGACAACUUGUUGACUAUGUUAAGUCUUGUAGCUUACUCGCUUAUGCUAUUUUACCUACGCUUAGGAUGUUGACGAUCAGCUGAGCGC